UGAGCAGUAUGAUCAUAUUUUUUAUACAUAUGAUCACGGAAAGCGCUUCGGUAUGCGAGCUGCGAGAGCAAGCAGCUUCAGAUGAAUGUUUU